UGAGCAAACCGGGUGACCGCCCUGGCCACAAUCCGCCGGGGAGGAAAGUCCGAGCUCCACCGAGCAGGGUGCUGGGUAACGCCCAGGAGGGGAGACCCUACGGAAAGUGCCACAGAAACAUACCGCCAGCGGCCCCGAUUUGUCGGGGUGCGGGUAAGGGUGAAAUGGCGAGGUAAGAGCUCACCGGCAACCAGGAGACUGGUUGGCCGGACAAACCCCACCCGGAGCAAGACCGAAUAAGAGGGCUGAACUGCCCUGGAGUUUCAACACUCCAGGGCAGGCUAAGGUGCUCGGCCGAGGCCCUCGGGUUGGUCGCUUGACCCUGAUGGCAACACCAGGGCUAGAUGGAUGGUCACCACCCCGACUCGGUCGGGGUACAGAACUCGGCUU
rnacentral:RNase_P_RNA from 1 species